rnacentral:rRNA from 1 species
GACGAACGCUGGCGGCGUGCUUAACACAUGCAAGUCGAACGGAAAGGCCCUGCUUUUGUGGGGUGCUCGAGUGGCGAACGGGUGAGUAACACGUGAGUAACCUGCCCUUGACUUUGGGAUAACUUCAGGAAACUGGGGCUAAUACCGGAUAGGAGCUCCUGCUGCAUGGUGGUGGUUGGAAAGUGUCGGCGGUUGGGGAUGGACUCGCGGCUUAUCAGCUUGUUUGUGGGGUAGUGGCUUACCAAGGCUUUGAGGGGUAGCCUGCCUGAGAGGGUGACCGGCCACCUUGGGACUGAGAUACGGACCAGACUCGUACGGGAGGCAGCAGUGGGGAGUAUUGCACAAUGGGGGGAAGUCUGAUGCAGCAACGCCGCGUGCGGGAUGACGGGCUUCGGGUUGUAAACAGAUUUCGCCUGUGACGAAGCGUGAGUGACGGUAAUGAGUAAAGAAGCACCGGCUAACUACGUG